AUUAAUUCAAGUUGAAAGUAUAGUUUAGCUGUAUCACGUAAGUUGUUACCAAUCACAAAACCUUUAUCAAAAACGUUAAAAAAAAAAGUUUACUCUCAAUUUUUUUGUACAAUUAUUUCUAACAGGUUUGCACUAUUCCGAUAAAGCUAACAGCUCCAGAUAACAAUUAAAAACUUGUACAGUUUUUGGUUACCAAUUAGAUCCAUAAUUUAAUUUACGUUUAUUUAGUUAUAUAUGUCUUUGUUAUUGAUU
rnacentral:sRNA from 1 species